rnacentral:pre_miRNA from 1 species
AAUACUUGUCGCUUUGAGUUUUUAUUUGUAACGUUUGAUCAUUCGUCUUAUUCAAAAAAUUAUGGAAUUAUUAUUUAUUUUUGUAACUUGUUUAUUAUCAAAAGUAUUUAAGUAUGACUUAUCUUUUUUUUAUAUUUACACUAAUUUUUCAAAUAAGACAAAUGGUCAAAAGUUGCAAGCAGAAAGUCAAAGCGACAUCUAUU